CGCAAAUCUGCAUCUUCGUCCAGGACUUCGUGCACAAAGAUUAUGGGGUUACCAGUAUUCUUUUUCUUGUUGCCGAAUUUUAGGGUUUGUCGGUAUAGGGGUGAUGUGAUAACA